rnacentral:lncRNA from 1 species
UUUUCGGCUGGAAUGGGGAAUUUGUGAGGUAGGCCGGAAGUGGUGUUGCGGAGGGAAGUGUGGGGAGAGCAGAGGCGCAGCUCUGCUGGAGAGACCUGAGGCUUGCAGCGCUGGGCCCGGCCGGGUCGCUGCGGCUGGGCUGGAGCCAAGGUUAACUAUUUGUAACAUGUCAUCUUUCAAGGAAGCAUCUAACCAAGAUUAAGUCAAAGGCAUCUACCAGGUCCUGAAUUCUCUCCCAGAUGCACACCUUUUAAGGUCAAGGAUGCAUUCCAGGAAAGUUCUAUAAAAAUAUACCAUCAACUCCAACCUGAUAUUUGACCUAGCCAUGGAAAACCUCAUUGGCUCCUCACUGGAUCAGACCAUAAAAAUGAUCCAGGAAUGAAAAUCUAAGAUAAAUUCCCACCACUUCAAGAUGUUCUUAUACAAGUCAACAGUCUAGCAGAUCAGCCAGUCUCUUUCAUCAUCAAGCAGACAUACUCAAGAAAGAGGAAUAGUGAAGUGAAAUAUACAGAAGCAUGUUCAAGUUCAUCUGUUGAAUCUGGAAUUGUGAAUAGUGACAAUAUUGAGAAAAAUACUGACUCCAAUCUGCAAACUUCAACUUCAUUUGAGCCACAUUUCAAAAAGAAAAAAAAGAAAAAUUUGAAACAUUAAGGGAAAACAGUUGGGUAAAAGAUCCAUUUGCUUUUCGACACCCUGAAUCAAUAAUUGAGCUAAACUUGGUGCCUGAAGAAGAGAAUGAAUUAUUGCAGCUUAGUUCUUCAUAUACAUUGAAGAAUGAUUAUGAAACCUUAAGUUUAUCAGCAUUUUGGAUGAAGGUAAAGGAAGACUUUCCAUUGUUAAGUAGAAAGAGUGUCCUGCUAUUGCUACCAUUCACAACAACUAGUUUGUGUGAACUAGGGUUUUCCAUCUUAACGCAGUUAAAAACAAAGGAAAGAAAUGGGCUGAAUUGUGCAGCAGUUAUGCGGGUAGCAUUAUCUUCCUGUGUUCCAGACUGGAAUGAACUUAUGAACAGGCAAGCACACCCAUCAUAGUAAAUAAAAAUCUUACCUAGC